GGUUGACCUCGGAUCAGGUAGGGAUACCCGCUGAACUUAAGCAUAUCAAUAAGCGGAGGAAAAGAAACCAACAGGGAUUGCCCCAGUAACGGCGAGUGAAGCGGCAAGAGCUCAAAUUUGAAAGCUGGCUCCUUCGGGGUCCGCAUUGUAAUUUGCAGAGGAUGCUUCGGGAGUGGCCCCCAUCUAAGUGCCCUGGAACGGGCUGUCAUAGAGGGUGAGAAUCCCGUCUGGGAUGGGGUGCCCACGCCCGUGUGAAGCUCCUUCGACGAGUCGAGUUGUUUGGGAAUGCAGCUCUAAAUGGGUGGUAAAUUUCAUCUAAAGCUAAAUAUUGGCCGGAGACCGAUAGCGCACAAGUAGAGUGAUCGAAAGAUGAAAAGCACUUUGAAAAGAGAGUUAAAAAGCACGUGAAAUUGUUGAAAGGGAAGCGUUUGCGACCAGACUCGCCUCUGGGGUUCAGCCGGCCUUCGGGCCCGGUGUACUUCCCCAGGGGCGGGCCAGCGUCGGUUUGGGCGGCCGGUCAAAGGCCCUCGGAAUGUAACGCCUCUCGGGGCGUCUUAUAGCCGAGGGUGCCAUGCGGCCUGCCCGGACCGAGGAACGCGCUUCGGCUCGGACGCUGGCUUAAUGGUCGUAAACGACCCGUCUGGAAACACGGACC
rnacentral:rRNA from 1 species